rnacentral:rRNA from 1 species
UACGUAGGGGGCAAGCGUUAUCCGGAAUUACUGGGUGUAAAGGGAGCGUAGACGGUAAUAUAAGUCUGGAGUGAAAGGCGGGGGCCCAACCCCCGGACUGCUCUGGAAACUAUGUUACUAGAGUGCAGGAGAGGUAAGCGGAAUUCCUAGUGUAGCGGUGAAAUGCGUAGAUAUUAGGAGGAACACCAGUGGCGAAGGCGGCUUACUGGACUGUAACUGACGUUGAGGCUCGAAAGCGUGGGGAGCAAACAGG